AACGCACGAGACCUGCGGACCUGCGGAAGGAUCAUUACCGAGUUAGGGUCUUCUUGGCCCAACCUCCAACCCUUUGUCUACCUGACCACUUGUUGCUUUGGCGAGCCUGCCUCUCGGGGCUGCCAGAGGCCUUCCGGGCCUUUGGAUUGUGCUCGUCAAAAGCCCCUUAUAAACUCUUGCUGAAAUGUGGCGUCUUAUCCAAAACAGUUAAAAAGCAAAAACUUUCAACAACGGAUCUCU
rnacentral:misc_RNA from 1 species